rnacentral:rRNA from 1 species
UACGUAGGGUGCGAGCGUUAAUCGGAAUUACUGGGCGUAAAGCGUGCGCAGGCGGUCUGUUAAGACCGAUGUGAAAUCCCCGGGCUUAACCUGGGAACUGCAUUGGUGACUGGCAGGCUUUGAGUGUGGCAGAGGGAGGUAGAAUUCCACGUGUAGCAGUGAAAUGCGUAGAGAAUGUGGAGGAAUACCGAUGGCGGAAGGGACAGCCUCCUGGGCCAACACUCGACGCUGACUGCACGAAAGCGUGGGGAGCAAACAGGA